rnacentral:rRNA from 1 species
CAGCAGCCGCGGGAAUACGGAGGGAGCUAGCGUUGUUCGGAAUUACUGGGCGUAAAGCGCGCGUAGGCGGUUACUCAAGUCAGAGGUGAAAGCCCGGGGCUCAACCCCGGAACUGCCUUUGAAACUAGGUGACUAGAAUCUUGGAGAGGUCAGUGGAAUUCCGAGUGUAGAGGUGAAAUUCGUAGAUAUUCGGAAGAACACCAGUGGCGAAGGCGACUGACUGGACAAGUAUUGACGCUGAGGUGCGAAAGCGUGGGGAGCAAACAGGAUUAGAGACCCGCGUAGUCCCUGUCUGUUAUAC